AGCCAGUGCUAUUAUUUAGGGCAAGAAGGGUCAUCAGGCGCUACGUCAGAAAGGUCAGAAGAAUCCUUAGACGUUACGGCAGAAAGGCAAGUAAAGCUCUCAGGCGUUUCAAAGGAAAGAAUCUUUGGAGAAAAAUUGCCAGUAAAUAUCGACAGUAAGUCU